ncrna:unclassified sequences Type-P5 twister ribozyme ribozyme sequence
CGCAGAAGUGAGCCGGGGCAACCCGGUGUAAUGCGGCUUCCCAUUGUGGGAACCAGUCACAAGCCUGG